AUUGAACGCUGGCGGCAGGCCUAACACAUGCAAGUCGAGCGAGCGGCGGACGGGUGAGUAAUGUCUGGGAAACUGCCUGAUGGAGGGGGAUAACUACUGGAAACGGUAGCUAAUACCGCAUACCAUCAGAUGUGCCCAGGUGGGAUUAGCUAGUAGGUGGGGUAACGGCUCACCUAGGCGACGAUCCCUAGCUGGUCUGAGAUGAUGACCAGGCACACUGGACCUGAGACACGGUCCAGACUCCUACGGGAGGCAGCGGUGGGGAGUAUUGCACAAUGGGCGCAAGCCUGAUGCAGCCAUGCCGCGUGUGUGACGAAGGCCUUCGAGUUGUAAAGCAGUUUCAGCGGGGAGGCGUUACCCGCGGAAGAAGCACCGGCUAACUCCGUGCCAGCAGCCGCGGUAAUUC
rnacentral:rRNA from 1 species